ensembl:piRNA 21ur-7680 ncRNA
UUUGAACCGUUUCCAUAGUUU